UAGAAAUACCGCACUGGUGGGGUAUGGAUCCGAAGCCUCUAGAAGGAUAACAAAGGCUCUCCACACUCUACUCCUACUCAAUACGUCCCCGGCGUACAGAGCGGGACUCUAAACAGCUAGGA
rfam:Anopheles minimus strain MINIMTS1 unplaced genomic scaffold supercont1.11, whole genome shotgun sequence.